GUUGGAGAUUCCUCCAACUCCAGCAGCAAAUUGGGCUCUGAAAAGACUGAAUAAUGCACCCUUCCCAGACCAGACUUCAGCUUUGUCCCUGUGAAAUACGCCUUCGACGUUUAUCCGCAGCUCCUUGUACACUUCAGAAGCAACCAGCAUCCCCUGAAGUCAUGUUAAAAAUCAAGUUCCUAGUUUGCCCACCUGAUGAUUCUGACCCAGUAGCUGUGAGCAGGGCCAGGGAACCUACAUUUCUCAGCAGCUUCCAGAGGACGGAGCGUUCCCGGUCUCGAAACCACACUUUGAGUGCUGCAGGCUCAGAAUACUUCCUGGGAGGUGCAUACAGACCAAACCACAAAUAAGAAGUAACUCGGCUUGAGGGACAUGGAGACCCUGUGUGCAAAGAAGCAGCAACUCAAUGUGACCAUUCCAGGAAAGCAGCCAGAUGUGCCAAAAACAUCACCCGAGGUGUCUGCAUCCUUUCUCUGAUGGCGUUGAGUUCGCUGGAACUGCAGCUGAAGCUUGAAUCCCCAGUGGCCUGGGAUGGCCUCCCUUCCCAGGUGGAGACAGACGGGAAUAUCAAGACAUAGCCAGGGGAAGAGAAGUACAUGUGGGCUCCAGGCUGCGGAGCCCCGAAGACGUCAACAUGUUGCUGAGGCCAGAGUGAAACCGGAGGGCCCGGAGGGACUGGCUGGCCAGCCCACAGCCGCAGCUCACAGCUCUCUGAGGGGCUCUCCCCAGGUCUCAGGUCUGAGAGGCUUUCUCUCCUGAGAGCCCUUUUAAGAGUUCUGUCUCACUCAGCUUCUUCCUGGGCACUCGUUGGCCUGUCUGUCUCUGGGGCCACCGGGACUUGUGUGGUGCCCUGUUUGUGUUGCUGGCACCGGCACCGAACACCCAUGUGGUCUCAUAGGAAGGUCCCAGUAACUCCUCACUGAAAUGCACCUGCUUAUCCAGAAACGAGGUCCUGUAUUUCUGGACUCGUUCCUUUGAAUGAUUAGAGAAUGCUGGCAAUGACCAGGACCAAGCCACUGGCCCUUUUCUGUGAAGCUGAAGGUGAGGUGGCGGACCAGGGGAAGCCCAGUGACUCUUCGGGACACAGGACACUCUCCCCAGCUCCCGCAGACCCUGCAGCUGAGUGCUCUCCCCAGGGUCUGACUCAUGCCCCUCACUGCCCGGCCUACUCAGCCACAUGCUCUAAAGGUCCUGUGCGACCUUGCUCACUGUCUCUUUCAAGCUGGGCCAGGCUCAGUGGGGCCUGCCAGUUUCAGGAUCGCCUGCUGGGCUUUGGGAUCACAUCCUCAGGACACUCCCCGUUCUCCCUGCUUGGCAUUUCCCAAGGAGACUCCCCAGACAAGCCAGCAUUCCCAGGGGUUUCCGUGUGCUGGAAAACAAGGCGGCAUCCAGGAGAUCAAAGGAAGACAGCAGGGGCAGGGAGGAGCCCCGGACUCAGAGCACAGUGGUC